CUUCCAAUUCAGAGAAACCCCGGAAUUAAAGGUUCAAGUCCCUCUAUCCCCAAUAAAAGCCUAUUUUUAUUACUAACUUUACUUCCUAACUACUUUUUAUCUUUUUUUUAAUCUCAAAAUUCAGGGGCUGGGUAAGAUUUUUUA
rnacentral:tRNA from 1 species